rnacentral:rRNA from 1 species
CGGCUUACCAAGGCAACGAUGCGUAGCCGACCUGAGAGGGUGAUCGGCCACACUGGAACUGAGACACGGUCCAGACUCCUACGGGAGGCAGCAGUAGGGAAUCUUCCGCAAUGGGCGAAAGCCUGACGGAGCAACGCCGCGUGAGUGAUGAAGGUCUUCGGAUCGUAAAACUCUGUUAUUGGGGAAGAACAAAUGUGUAAGUAACUAUGCACGUCUUGACGGUACCUAAUUAGAAAGCCACGGCUAACUACGUGCCAGCAGCCGCGGUAAUACGUAGGUGGCAAGCGUUAUCCGGAAUUAUUGGGCGUAAAGCGCGCGUAGGCGGUUUUUUAAGUCUGAUGUGAAAGCCCACGGCUCAACCGUGGAGGGUCAUUGGAAACUGGAAAACUUGAGUGCAGAAGAGGAAAGUGGAAUUCCAUGUGUAGCGGUGAAAUGCGCAGAGAUAUGGAGGACACCAGUGGCGAAGGCGACUUU